rnacentral:rRNA from 1 species
UUGAAAGGGAAACGAUUGAAGUUAGUCAUGCUGGUGGGAAUCAACUUAGGGGAAACUCUAGGUGCACUUCUUCGCUUGGCAGGUUAACGUCGAUCUUGAAUGCCAUAAAAUAAUUGGGGGAAGGUAGCUCCUUCGGGAGUGUUAUAGCCCUUGAUAGAUGUGAUGUUUGGGGUCGAGGAUUGCAACGGAUACCCUUUGGGGCUAGCCGCCUGAUCUCUAAUCGGUGUUGGGUUACGGAUAGCAUGCUGACCGUGAUCUAAUUACUGGUUAAAAGGUUAGAGCGUGCAUAAAUUCGUUAAGGAUGUUGACGUA